rnacentral:rRNA from 1 species
CAACGCGAAGAACCUUACCAGGUCUUGACAUCCUUUGACCACUCUAGAGAUAGAGCUUUCCCCUCGGGGACAAAGUGACAGGUGGUGCAUGGUUGUCGUCAGCUCGUGUCGUGAGAUGUUGGGUUAAGUCCCGCAACGAGCGCAACCCUUAUUGUUAGUUGCCAUCAUUAAGUUGGGCACUCUAGCGAGACUGCCGGUGACAAACCGGAGGAAGGUGGGGAUGACGUCAAAUCAUCAUGCCCCUUAUGACCUGGGCUACACACGUGCUACAAUGGACAGUACAAUGAGCAGCGACACGGCGACGUGAAGCGAAUCUCAUAAAGCUGUUCUCAGUUCGGAUUGUAGGCUGCAACUCGCCUACAUGAAGCCGGAAUCGCUAGUAAUCGCGGAUCAGCACGCCGCGGUGAAUACGUUCCCGGGCCUUGUACACACCGCCCGUCACACCACGAAAGUUUGUAACACCCGAAGUCGGUGAGGUAACCGCAAGGAGCCAACCGCCUAAGGUGGGAUAGAUGAUUGGGGUGAAGUCGUAACAAGGUAACCAAGGGCGAAUUCUG